GACGGAGGAUGCUAGCGUUGUUCGGAAUCACUGGGCGUAAAGGGCGCGUAGGCGGCUGUGGCAGUCGAGUGUGAAAGCCCGGAGCUCAACUCCGGAAUUGCACUCGAGACGCCAUGGCUAGAGGCCGGAAGAGGAGGGUGGAAUACCCAGUGUAGAAGUGAAAUUCGUAGAUAUUGGGUGGAACACCGAUGGCGAAAGCGACUCUCUGGUCCGGACCUGACGCUGAGGCGCGAAAGCGUGGGGAGCAAACAGG
rnacentral:misc_RNA from 1 species